AGCGAACGCUGGCGGCGUACUUAACACAUGCAAGUCGAACGAGGAUCAUCGGGUUAGCAAUAAUUCGGUGGUCCUAGUGGCGCACGGGUGAGUAACACGUGGGUGACCUGCCCUUGAGCUCGGGAUACCCCCUCGAAAGGGGGGCUAAUACCGGAUACGUUCCUCGGUCGAAAGACUGAGGAGGAAAGGUGGCGCAAGCUGCCGCUCUUGGAGGGGCUCGCGGCCUAUCAGCUAGNGGCGGGUAACGGCCCACCAAGGCUAUGACGGGUAGCUGGUCUGAGAGGACGGACCAGCCACACGGGGACUGAGACACGGCCCGACUCCUACGGGAGGCAGCAGUGGGGAAUUUUCCGCAAUGGGCGAAAGCCUGACGGAGUGACGCGC
rnacentral:rRNA from 1 species